AUUGAACGCUGGCGGCAGGCCUAACACAUGCAAGUCGAGCGGAUGAAGGGAGCUUGCUCCUGGAUUCAGCGGCGGACGGGUGAGUAAUGCCUAGGAAUCUGCCUGGUAGUGGGGGAUAACGUCCGGAAACGGGCGCUAAUACCGCAUACGUCCUGAGGGAGAAAGUGGGGGAUCUUCGGACCUCACGCUAUCAGAUGAGCCUAGGUCGGAUUAGCUAGUUGGUGGGGUAAAGGCCUACCAAGGCGACGAUCCGUAACUGGUCCGAGAGGAUGAUCAGUCACACUGGAACUGCGACACGGUCCAGACUCCUACGGGAGGCAGCAAUGGGGAAUAUUGGCCAAUGGGCGAAAGCCUGAUCCAGCCAUGCCGCGUGUGUGAAGAAGGUCUUCGGAUUGUAAAGCACUUUAAGUUGGGAGGAAGGGCAGUAAGUUAAUACCUUGCUGUUUUGACGUUACCAACAGAAUAAGCACCGGCUAACUUCGUG
rnacentral:rRNA from 1 species